GCCCCGAAUCUUUUCAGAUCUGUAAAAUGAAUUCAUCCAGGACGCUAGGUGGCGGCACGCAGCUUUAACUCUCCGGUCCCCCACUGAACUGAAAAUGAAUAAGAGAUGCGUGUUGAAUGCAAAAUAACAUUCUGAAUCUCCACACAGUAAACGCCUUUUCAAAGUGUCUUUAUUAUUACAGUGCCUUCGUUAUUACUGUAAGUGUAUAUUUAUAGUUAUGUGAUGUAAAUACUGUUAAAUAGCGUCAACUGAUAUAUUAUCUGCAUGGCUAACGUCUAACUUACUGUGGUGCUCUGGUCUAGUCUGCCCCAUUGGUCAUUGGUAGUAUUUAAAGUACAUUUAAUAGCAGUGAAUUAAAACUCUGAAAAAACUUGCUCAUUGUUGCAUAUAUACUUUUUUAUAGAUGGAUAUACGAUUUAUAUUUUUAAAGACGUCAGAAGUAAGAAGGUGAGAAAGUAUAUAGUUAGUUAGGUAGCUUAUGUUUUGUCCAUAUGCAUUUGAAAUUCGCAAUGAUUUUACCUCAGAAAUACAUUGAUAGACAGUUAUAAAAUGUGAAUCCCCAAUCUCUUACAUUAAAAUAUCCUUAUGUGUGAUAACUGUCAGUGCAAAUAGGAAGAGAGGAAGGUGUUGAUGGAAAGUGUGUUUGAAAAGAAGGGUAGUUAAAAUGUAAGAUAAAAUGUCUUUUUCUUUCCAUGUUGAAUCUGAAUUAAAAUGUUCAAAUCUAGAAAUCAUUCAUGUUUAAGUACAUGGUAAGAUUUGGUGGGAGUGUAAAGAACCAUAUGCAUCAUAUUUAUGUGUGUAUUUUAAGACAUUAUUUUGUUUAUUUACAUUUAUAUGAUUUAAUUGUUCAAUAAAAGGACUUUUAUUUUGGUAGCGCCUCCGCUUGGUGUAAUGGAUUUAAUGGUGUACACCUGCUAUGGUGACAGACAAACACUAAUGCAAUGUGAAGCACGGUAACCAAGGCAAGGUUUAUGGAUCCUGUGAAUCUUAAGUUUAGAUCCUGGUUUAAGGGGGAACAAGCUCUUACGGUGGUUCAUUUGUGUUAUUGAAUGGCCACAAUAAAAUGCUGUGAAUCAUCAGUAAAAGAGUCGACCGCUUUAUUAACCAGGAUGCUACAGAGAGAGAUCACAGAUAGACAGAAAGAGAGAGAAACGCUUCCAUAAGCAGGUGAGAAAUUGUUCUGUCAAUGAAGUCAAAAAUUGUUAUUCUUAUGUAGCUUUAUAGUUACUGGAUUAGCCUUCAGCAAACAUGUUUGCCUAUUUUUGGAUAAGAGAAGUUAAAGUAUCAUUGUCAAAAUUUGUUAUGUUGCAGUUUCAAAAUGACAAUACCAGUGUUGGGUAAGUUACUCAAAAAAGUAAUUAAUUACUAGUUACAUGAGUAAUUAAUCUUCAAUCAUGUAAUUAAAUUACUUUACAAAUUACUCCAAAAAGUAUUUAAUUAUUACUAAUUACUUUCUAAAUCCUAUUUAGUACAUGAUACAAGGAUAGGCUUGAAAUGGCUUGAAGAAACAAUAUAUAAAAGUACAUCAAUUAUUCUGGUCCCACUUUAGUGUCCAUUUCUCUCUAUUAAUUAACUAUUAACUACUUUUGCCUCAAUAUACUCCAACUACUGCUUAUUAAUACUAAAGUAGUGGUUUAUUUUAAGUAUUUGUAGAAAUGGGGAGGGUUAAGGGUGUAGAAUAAGGUUUUGCAGAAUCAGGCAUUAAUAUGUGCUAUUUAAGUAGGCCUACUAAUAAACAGUCAACAUCUCAGUAAUAUUAAUGCUAAUAAUCAACCAGUUAAUAGUGAGAAUUGUAAACUAAAACCAUGUUAAAUCCACUAUUUAUUAUAGUAUACAUAAUUGUUCUACAGUCCAUAGACAGUAUUUAGUUACAUCAGAAGUAACUGUAAUUCGAUUACAAGAAAAAUAAGAGUAAUCCCUUACAUUACUUUUUCAAGUAAUUAAAUUACAGUAACAAAUUACUUAGUAACUAGUUACACCCAACACUGGACAAUACAGAGAACACUUAGAUUAAAAAAUUGUUUAUAAAGCUGCCGUAAAUGGAGAAAAAAUAUCAACAGGGGACCAAGCUUUGAAACCCCUAGAUUUGGGCUAAGCCCCCAAUGUCUACAAUGUCUGGCUCCGCCCCUGGAUUGUCCUAUCUCCAAUGUCUGCCUUAUAGCAUUCUUCCAUCUUAGAAAUAUCUUGAAAAUACCCAUAUGCUAUCUGCUAUCCACGCUUUUAUUACCUCAAGAUUAGAUUAUUGUAACUCGUUACUUGUUUCAGCUGGUUCGAACCGCCGCCGCAAGAGUGUUCACUCGAUCUAAAAAGUAUGACCACAUAAGCCCAAUUUUGGCAUCUUUACACUGGUUACCAGUUAAAUAUUGCAUGAAUUUAAAAAUAUCGCAAAUUACCCUCUAAAAACCGUUGGGUUAUUUGUUUUACCCAAUAGGUGGGUUAAACAUAUUGGGUUGUUCUGUUGGGUUAUUCCUAGCUUUUAUUGGGUUAUUUCUAUAACAACCCAGACAGAUGGGUUAAAAUCGGGCUCACGUCACGCAAUUUGAAUUUCAAUGGUCAACAGGUGCCACUGCUGAGUGCGGACAGACGAGAGGUGAAGUAUUUUGGCCGAGACCCCACAGAUGGCAGGAUGAGAUUAUCACGUAAAGUUCUUCAGUCUCCAGCAGCGACUGUAGUGAAGAGUCUCAGUGAGAAACAGAGCAUCUCUAUAGGAGAAUCUCAAGACUCAUAGAGCUCUGCUCAUUACUAUCUUUUGUACAUGACAUAUUUUAUUAUAAUAAAUCUGCUUAUUAUUACAAACACAACUCUGCCCUUUGCAUUUCAUGCGUUUACAACAUCAGCAGAUAAUGAGAUUUGUUUCUUCACAACCAGACACCAAAUCUACUGAUAAAAACAUUUAUCCAUACUGUUUCUCUCUGGUAAACUGAACCUCCAGCCUUCACCCAAGUCCACCACAACUUUUAAAAAACAACACAUAUUCACCAGACUAACAUAUAACUCUUAACUUUUACACUAAAUGUAAAAUACCUUUUUAAAAUAAAAACCUUUCAUGUACACAAGAAA